rnacentral:rRNA from 1 species
AUUGAACGCUGGCGGCAGGCCUAACACAUGCAAGUCGAACGGAGUGGCGGACGGGUGAGUAAUGCAUAGGAAUCUGCCUGGUAGAGGGGGAUAACGACCGGAAACGGGCGCUAAUACCGCAUACUAUCAGAUGAACCUAGGUUGGAUUAGCUAGUUGGUGGGGUAAAGGCCUACCAAGGCGACGAUCCGUAACUGGUCUGAGAGGAUGAUCAGCCACACUGGAACUGAGACACGGACCAGACUCCGACGGGGGGCAGCAGUGUGGAAUAUUGGACAAUGGGCGAAAGCCUGAUCCAGCCAUGCCGCGUGUGUGAAGAAGGUCGUCGGAUUGUAAAGCACUUUAAGUUGGGAGGCGUUACCAACAGAAUAAGAACCGGCUAACUUCGUGCCAGCAGACGCGGUAAUUC